rfam:TPA: Bos taurus chromosome 13, whole genome shotgun sequence.
UCCCUGCUGGUCCAGUGGCUAAGACUCUGCACUUCCAAUGCAGGGGCCUGGGUUGGAUCCCUGGUCAGGGAA